rnacentral:rRNA from 1 species
GACGAACGCUGGCGGCGUGCCUAAUACAUGCAAGUAGGACGCAGUUGCGAACGGGUGAGUAACGCGUAGGUACCUGCCGAUGAGAGGGGGAUAACUAUUGGAAACGAUAGCUAAUACCGCAAACUAGUAGGUGGACCUGCGUUGUAUUAGCUAGUAGGUAGGGUAACGGCUUACCUAGGCGUAGAUACAUAGCCGACCUGAGAGGGUGAUCGGACACACUGGGACUGAGACACGGCCCAGACCCCUACGGGAGGCAGCAGUAGGGAAUCUUCGGCAAUGGGGGGAACCCUGACCGAGCAACGCCGCGUGAGUGAAGAAGGUUUUCGGAUCGUAAAGCGCUGUUGUUAAAGAAGCGGUACUGAACCAGAAAGGGACGGCUAACUACGUGCCAGCAGCCGCGGUAAUUC